CAGCAUCUUGUAGCAAUACAAGGUGUGGGCGCGUGGCGAACGGGUGCGUAACACGUGGAUAACCUUCCUUCAGGUGGGGAAUAACCCAGUGAAAAUUGGGCUAAUACCGCAUAACAUGACGAUGCCACAUGGUGUUGUCUUCAAAGGCGCAAGUCGCCAGAAGAGGGAUCCGCGGCCGAUUAGCUUGUUGGCGAGGUAAUGGCUCACCAAGGCAUUGAUCGGUAGCCGGACUGAGAGGUUGACCGGCCACACUGGAACUGAGACACGGUCCAGACUCCUACGGGAGGCAGCAGUGGGGAAUCUUGCACAAUGGACGAAAGUCUGAUGCAGCAACGCCGCGUGGGGGAUGAAGCUUCUCGGA
rnacentral:rRNA from 1 species